rnacentral:rRNA from 1 species
AUACGUAGGGAGCGAGCGUUGUCCGGAAUUACUGGGUGUAAAGGGCGCGUAGGCGGGGGUGCAAGUCAGAUGUGAAAUCUAUGGGCUUAACUCAUAAACUGCAUUUGAAACUGUAUCUCUUGAGUGCUGGAGAGGUAGACGGAAUUCCUUGUGUAGCGGUGAAAUGCGUAGAUAUAAGGAAGAACACCAGUGGCGAAGGCGGUCUACUGGACAGUAACUGACGCUGAGGCGCGAAAGCGUGGGGAGCAAACAGGAUUAGAUACCCUGGUAGUCCACGCUGUAAACGAUGAAUACUAGGUGUCGGGUUUCUAUAGAGAUUCGGUGCCGCAGCAAACGCAAUAAGUAUUCCACCUGGGGAGUACGUUCGCAAGAAUGAAACUCAAAGGAAUUGACGGGG